AUCAACUUUCGAUGGUAGGAUAGAGGCCUACCAUGGUAGUAACGGGUAACGGGGUGUUAGGGCACGACACCGGAGAGGGAGCCUGAGAAACGGCUACCACAUCCAAGGAUGGCAGCAGGCGCGCAAAUUACCCAGUCCCAACACGGGGAGGUAGUGACAAUAAAUAACAAUACGGGGUUCUUAUGGAUUUCGUAAUUGGAAUGAGUACAAUUUAAAUCUCUCAACGAGGAACAAUUGGAGGGCAAGUCUGGUGCCAGCAGCCGCGGUAAUUCCAGCUCCAAUAGCGUAUAUUAAAGUUGUUGCAGUUAAAAAGCUCGUAGUUGAAUUCCGGGAUCAAUUUGCUGGUCGUGCCUCUGGUACGUACUGGUAUUAUUGGUUUCUCCCUUCUGACGAACCAUGAUGUCAUUAAUUUGAUGUCGUGGAGAAUCAGGACUGUUACUUUGAAAAAAUUAGAGUGUUUAAAGCAGGCAUUAGCUUGAAUACAUUAGCAUGGAAUAAUGAAAUAGGACGUUUGAUCCUAUUUUGUUGGUUUCUAGGAUUGACGUAAUGAUUAAUAGGGAUAGUUGGGGGCAUUAGUAUUCAAUUGUCAGAGGUGAAAUUCUUGGAUUUAUUGAAGACUGACUACUGCGAAAGCAUUUGCCAAGGACGUUUUCAUUAAUCAAGAACGAAAGUUAGGGGAUCGAAGACGAUCAGAUACCGUCGUAGUCUUAACCAUAAACUAUGCCGACUAGGGAUCGGAUGAUGUUAAUUUUUAAUGACUCAUUCGGCGCCUUACGGGAAACCAAAGUGUUUGGGUUC
rnacentral:rRNA from 1 species